UGGGGAAUAUUGGACAAUGGGCGCAAGCCUGAUCCAGCCAUGCCGCGUGAGUGACGAAGGUCUUCGGAUUGUAAAGCUCUUUUUGCCAGGGACGAUAAUGACGGUACCUGGAGAAUAAGCCCCGGCUAACUUCGUGCCAGCAGCCGCGGUAAUACGAAGGGGGCUAGCGUUGUUCGGAAUUACUGGGCGUAAAGCGCACGUAGGCGGAUUUGUUAGUCAGGGGUGAAAUCCCGGGGCUCAACCUCGGAACUGCCUUUGAUACUGCAAGUCUCGAGUCCGAUAGAGGUGAGUGGAAUUCCUAGUGUAGAGGUGAAAUUCGUAGAUAUUAGGAAGAACACCAGUGGCGAAGGCGGCUCACUGGAUCGGUACUGACGCUGAGGUGCGAAAGCGUGGGGAGCAAACAGGAUUAGAUACCCAUGUAGUCCCUGAGCGGGCUGGCAAGGCGCAU
rnacentral:rRNA from 1 species